CCUACGGGUGGCAGCAGUGGGGAAUAUUGCACAAUGGGGGAAACCCUGAUGCAGCGACGCCGCGUGAGUGAAGAAGUAUUUCGGUAUGUAAAGCUCUUUCAGCAGGGAAGAGAAUGACGGUACCUGAGUACGAAGCCCCGGCUAACUACGUGCCAGCAGCCGCGGUAAUACGUAGGGGUCAAGCGUUUACCGGAUUUACUGGGGUUAAAGGGAGCGUCGGCGGCAAAGAAAGUCUGAAGUGAAAGCCCGCGGCUCAACCGCGGAACUGCUUUGGAAACUUUUUUGCUGGAGUACCGGAGAGGUAAGCGGAAUUCCUGGUGUAGCGGUGAAAUGCGUAGAUAUUAGGAGGAACACCAGUGGCGAAGGCGGCUUACUGGACGGUAACUGACGUUGAGGCACGAAAGCGUGGGGAGCAAACAGGAUUAGAUACCCCUGUAGUC
rnacentral:rRNA from 1 species